rnacentral:rRNA from 1 species
UACGUAGGGUGCAAGCGUUGUCCGGAAUUAUUGGGCGUAAAGAGCUCGUAGGCGGUUUGUCGCGUCUGCUGUGAAAACUCGGGGCUUAACCCCGGGCCUGCAGUGGGUACGGGCAGACUAGAGUGCGGUAGGGGAGACUGGAAUUCCUGGUGUAGCGGUGAAAUGCGCAGAUAUCAGGAGGAACACCGGUGGCGAAGGCGGGUCUCUGGGCCGUAACUGACGCUGAGGCACGAAGGUCAGGGGAGCAAACGGG